UUAAUAAGCGGGGGAAGAGAAACUAACUAGGAUUGGCCCAGUAACGGCGAGUGAAGUGCCAAUAGCCCAGCAUGUUAAUUGUCAUUCGUGACAAAUUGUAGUAUGAAUAUAGGUUCGUUCAGCCCACGGAAAAAAUCCCCUGGAAUGGGUUAGCAAAGAGGGUGAAACUCCCGUUGUUCCGCGAGCAUGAGAGCUAGUUAACGAGUCGAGUUGUUUGGGAUUGCAGCUCUAAGUUAGUGGUAAAUUUCAUUAAAGGCUAAAUACUGGUGAGAGACCGAUAGCGUACAAGUACCGUGAGGGAAAGAUGCAAAGCCGCGCGAGAGCGCAGUCAAAGAGUACCUGAAAUUGCUGAAAUAGAAGCAAAGGAAACCAGUGUCCAGCCUUCCUGCACUUCUCUGACUGCUUGCAAUCGGAGCGCUGCAGAAGGCUUUGUUCCUGUUUGUGAGAUGUGCAACAGAAUUUGAAGGUUGUGCGCUUGACCAAUGGGAAUAAAAUGGUUUUCUUUUUCCCG
rnacentral:rRNA from 1 species